rnacentral:rRNA from 1 species
AUCUAUGGCCAAACCACCCUUAAGGCACCCGAUCUCCUCUGAUCUUGGAAGCUAAGCAGGGUCGGGCCUGGUUAGUACUUGGAUGGGAGAAGACUUCAUUCUAGAAGACAUUGGUUAUUGUAAUUU